rnacentral:rRNA from 1 species
CAGCAGCCGCGGUAAUACGUAGGUGGCAAGCGUUGUCCGGAAUUAUUGGGCGUAAAGGGCUCGCAGGCGGUUUCUUAAGUCUGAUGUGAAAGCCCCCGGCUCAACCGGGGAGGGUCAUUGGAAACUGGGAAACUUGAGUGCAGAAGAGGAGAGUGGAAUUCCACGUGUAGCGGUGAAAUGCGUAGAGAUGUGGAGGAACACCAGUGGCGAAGGCGACUCUCUGGUCUGUAACUGACGCUGAGGAGCGAAAGCGUGGGGAGCGAACAGGAUUAGAUACCCUGGUAGUCCACGCCGUAAACGGAUGAGUGCUAAGUGUUAGGGGGUUUCCGCCCCUUAGUGCUGCAGCUAACGCAUUAAGCACUCCGCCUGGGGAGUACGGUCGCAAGACUGAAACUCAAAGGAAUUGACGGG